GGUUAAGUGACUAAGCGUACACGGUGGAUGCCUAGGCAGUCAGAGGCGAUGAAGGGCGUGCUAAUCUGCGAAAAGCGUCGGUAAGGUGAUAUGAACCGUUAUAACCGGCGAUACCCGAAUGGGGAAACCCAGUGUGUUUCGACACACUAUCAUGUCAUGAAUACAUAGUGGCAUGAGGCGAACCGGGGGAACUGAAACAUCUAAGUACCCCGAGGAAAAGAAAUCAACCGAGAUUCCCCCAGUAGCGGCGAGCGAACGGGGAGGAGCCCAGAACCUGAAUCGGCUUGUGUGUUAGUGGAAGCGUCUGGAAAGUCGCGCAGCAAAGGGUGAUAGCCCCGUACACUAAAAUGCAGCAGGUCGUGAGUUCGAUGAGUAGGGCGGGACACGUGACAUCCUGUCUGAAUAUGGGGGGNACCAUCCUCCAAGGCUAAAUACUCCUGACUGACCGAUAGUGAACCAGUACCGUGAGGGAAAGCGAAAAGAACCCCGGCGAGGGGAGUGAAAUAGAACCUUCCAACCUGCCCAUGGCUAGAUCACCGGGUUUCGGGUCUAUACCUUGCAACUAGUCGCCCAGUUAAGACUCGGUUUCCCUACGGCUCCCCUAUACGGUUAACCUUGCUACAAAAUAUAAGUCGCUGACCCAUUAUACAAAAGGUACGCAGUCACACCA
rnacentral:rRNA from 1 species